GCUCUUCACACGCACCACUCAAUUGAUACCUAUCACUUGGUGGGUAUGGGGAAUCAAGGCAACCGACUCCUUUUUUUUCUUUUGAUUGUAAUAUAAUACUCAAAUAGUAAUAAUAAUAAUAAUAACACUUUUGGUCUAUCAAUAUUGGGAUUGUGUGAUUCUAGUCAUGUUCACGUCGCAGAAUACUAACAGGAACACACGGAGGAUAUGUCAAUCUCAAAAGCUCAGCAAAUACUACUCAACUUAGUAAUGCUUCAAAAAUGCUAAACACCACCUAGUGCUCCCUUGAUUGAUUGGUCAUUUGUUGUGGAGGUCCCUUGCUCGGCUCGUGUCAUACCAACCAAUCUCUUGGUUGGACGGUUCACAAUCCUUUAAGCACGGAGUCUUGUAAAAACAUAAAUGCUUUAAGUGUCUUGAUGUAUCAUGCAACAUUGAAAGAAAGAAAAUAUCAAAG
rnacentral:lncRNA from 1 species